CAGCAGCCGCGGUAAUACGUAGGUCCCGAGCGUUGUCCGGAUUUAUUGGGCGUAAAGCGAGCGCAGGCGGUUUGAUAAGUCUGAAGUUAAAGGCUGUGGCUUAACCAUAGUACGCUUUGGAAACUGUUUAACUUGAGUGCAAGAGGGGAGAGUGGAAUUCCAUGUGUAGCGGUGAAAUGCGUAGAUAUAUGGAGGAACACCGGUGGCGAAAGCGGCUCUCUGGUCUGUCACUGACGCUGAGGCUCGAAAGCGUGGGUAGCGAACAGGAUUAGAGACCCGCGUAGUCCCUGUCUCUUAUACA
rnacentral:rRNA from 1 species